rnacentral:sRNA from 1 species
UAGCACCGGAUCCCAUUAGAACUCCGCAGUUAAGUGUGCUUGGGCAAGAGUAGUACUAGUAUGAGUGACCU